rnacentral:misc_RNA from 1 species
GAUGAAGAACGUAGUGAAAUGCGAUAAGUAGUGUGAAUUGCAGAAUUCAGAGAAUCAUCGAAUCUUUGAACGCACAUUGCGCCCCUCGGUAUUCCGUGGGGCAUGCCUGUUCGAGCGUCAUUUACCCCUCAAGCACUGCUUGGUGUUGGGCGUCUGUCCCGCUUCGCGCGCGGACUCGCCCCAAAGGUAUUGGCAGCGGUCGUGCCAGCUUCUCGCGCAGCACAUUGCGCUUCUCGAGGCGGUCGAUCGGCGUCCACGAAGCUCACCUCCACCGUUUGACCUCGGAUCAGGUAGGGAUACCCGCUGAACUUAAGCAUAUCAAUAAGCGGAGGA